rnacentral:rRNA from 1 species
GAUGAACGCUGGCGGCGUGCCUAAUACAUGCAAGUCGAGCGAACGGACGAGAAGCUUGCUUCUCUGAUGUUAGCGGCGGACGGGUGAGUAACACGUGGAUAACCUACCUAUAAGACUGGGAUAACUUCGGGAAACCGGAGCUAAUACCGGAUAAUAUUUUGAACCGCAUGGUUCAAAAGUGAAAGACGGUCUUGCUGUCACUUAUAGAUGGAUCCGCGCUGCAUUAGCUAGUUGGUAAGGUAACGGCUUACCAAGGCAACGAUGCAUAGCCGACCUGAGAGGGUGAUCGGCCACCCUGGACCUGAGACACGGUCCAGACUCCUACGGGAGGCAGCAGUAGGGAAUCUUCCGCAAUGGGCGAAAGCCUGACGGAGCAACGCCGCGUGAGUGAUGAAGGUCUUCGGAUCGUAAAACUCUGUUAUUAGGGAAGAACAUAUGUGUAAGUAACUGUGCACAUCUUGACGGUACCUAAUCAGAAAGCCACGGCUAACUACGUG